rnacentral:snRNA from 1 species
AUAUCUUAAGUGUCGUCUUUCCA